rnacentral:rRNA from 1 species
AUUGAACGCUGGCGGCAGGCUUAACACAUGCAAGUCGAGCGGGGGAAGGUAGCUUGCUACCGGACCUAGCGGCGGACGGGUGAGUAAUGCUUAGGAAUCUGCCUAUUAGUGGGGGACAACAUCUCGAAAGGGAUGCUAAUACCGCAUACGUCCUACGGGAGAAAGCAGGGGAUCUUCGGACCUUGCGCUAAUAGAUGAGCCUAAAUCGGAUUAGCUAGUUGGUGGGGUAAAGGCCUACCAAGGCGACGAUCUGUAGCGGGUCUGAGAGGAUGAUCCGCCACACUGGGAUAGAGACACGGCCCAGACUCCUACGGGAGGCAGCAGUGGGGAAUAUUGGACAAUGGGGGGAACCCUGAUCCAGCCAUGCCGCGUGUGUGAAGAAGGCCUUAUGGUUGUAAAGCACUUUAAGCGAGGAGGAGGCUCUUUUGGUUAAUACCCAAGAUGAGUGGACGUUACUCGCAGAAUAAGCACCGGCUAACUCUGUGCCAGCCGCCGCGGUAA